UACAGAGGUCUCAAGCGUUGUUCGGAUUUACUGGGCGUAAAGGGCGCGUAGGCGGUCGUGACAAGUCACUUGUGAAAUCUCCGGGCUUAACUCGGAACGGUCAAGUGAUACUGUCGGACUAGAGUGCAGAAGGGGCAACUGGAAUUCUCGGUGUAGCGGUGAAAUGCGUAGAUAUCGAGAGGAACACCUGCGGCGAAGGCGGGUUGCUGGGCUGACACUGACGCUGAGGCGCGAAAGCCAGGGGAGCGAACGGG
rnacentral:rRNA from 1 species